GACGUAGGGGGCCAGCGUUGCUCGGAAUCACUGGGCGUAAAGCGCACGUAGGCGGCUUAUUAAGUCAGGGGUGAAAUCCUGGAGCUCAACUCCAGAACUGCCUUUGAUACUGAUGAGCUUGAGUUCGGGAGAGGUGAGUGGAACUGCGAGUGUAGAGGUGAAAUUCGUAGAUAUUCGCAAGAACACCAGUGGCGAAGGCGGCUCACUGGCCCGAUACUGACGCUGAGGUGCGAAAGCGUGGGGAGCAAACAGG
rnacentral:rRNA from 1 species